rnacentral:rRNA from 1 species
GUACGGGAUGGGCAUGCGUGACAUUAGUUAGUUGGUGAGGUAACGGCUCACCAAGACUACGAUGUCUAGGGGUUCUGAGAGGAUUAACCCCCACACUGGUACUGAGACACGGACCAGACUCCUACGGGAGGCAGCAGUGAGGAAUAUUGGUCAAUGGGCAAAAGCCUGAACCAGCCAUGCCGCGUGAAGGAUGAAGGCCUUAUGGGUUGUAAACUUCUUUUAUACGGGAAGAUACCCCCCGACGUGUCGGGGGUUGACGGUACUGUACGAAUAAGCAUCGGCUAACUCCGUGCCAGCAGCCGCGGUAAUACGGAGGAUGCAAGCGUUAUCCGGAUUCAUUGGGUUUAAAGGGUGCGUAGGCGGGUUUCUAAGUCAGUGGUGAAAACCUACAGCUUAACUGUAGAACUGCCAUUGAUACUGGGGACCUUGAAUACGGUUGAGGUAGGCGGAAUGUGUAAUGUAGCGGUGAAAUGCUUAGAUAUUACACAGAACACCGAUUGCGAAGGCGGCUUGCUGGGAUAACACUGACGCUGAUGCACGAAAGUGUGGGGAUCAAACAGGAUUAGAUACCCUGGUAGUCCACACUGUAAACGAUGAUAACUAGCUGUCGGCGAUACACAGUCGGUGGCCAAGCGAAAGCGAUAAGUUAUCCACCUGGGGAGUACGACCGCAAGGUUGAAACUCAAAGGAAUUGACGGGGGCCCGCACAAGCGGAGGAACAUGUGGUUUAAUUCGAUGAUACGCGAGGAACCUUACCAAGGCUUAAGUGUAGAGCGACAGAUUGGAGAGGCAGUGUGCCUUCGGGCGUACUGAGACAGGUGCUGCAUGGUUGUCGUCAGCUCGUGCCGUGAGGUGUCGGGUUAAGUCCCAUAACGAGCGCAACCCUUAUCGUUAGUUGCCAGCGGGUUAAGCCGGGGACUCUAGCGAGACUGCCACCGUAAGGUGAGAGGAAGGUGGGGAUGACGUCAAAUCAGCACGGCCCUUAUGUCCAGGGCUACACACGUGUUACAAUGGCCGAUACAAAGGGCAGCUACUCCGCGAGGAGAUGCUAAUCUCUAAAGUCGGUCCCAGUUCGGAUUGGAGUCUGCAACCCGACUCCAUGAAGUUGGAUUCGCUAGUAAUCGCGCAUCAGCCAUGGCGCGGUGAAUACGUUCCCGGGCCUUGUACACACCGCCCGUCAAACCAUGGGAGCUGGGGGUGCCUGAAGUCUGCCACCGCAAGGAGCGGCCUAGGGUAAAACUAGUAACUGGGGCUAAGUCGUAACAAGGUAACCC